CUACGGGCUGCUCCAGUCGAGAAUCUUGGGCAAUGCGCGAAAGCGUGACCCAGCAAUGCCGCGUGUGCGAUGAAGGCCCUCGGGUCGUAAAGCACUGUCUCCCGUGACGAUAAUGACGGUAGCGGGGAAGGAAGCCACGGCUAACUACGUGCCAGCAGCCGCGGUAAUACGUAGGUGGCGAGCGUUGUUCGGAUUUAUUGGGCGUAAAGGGUCUGUAGGAGGUUUGCUAAAAUUGGGGUGAAAUCCCGAAGCUCAACUUCGGAACUGCCCCGGUGACUGGUGAACUAGAGUAUUGGAGAGGUAAGCGGAAUACCAGGUGUAGCGGUGGAAUGCGUAGAUAUCUGGUAGAACACCAAUAGCGAAGGCAGCUUGCUGGACAAUAACUGACUCUGAAAGACGAAAGCGUGGGGAUCAAACAGGAUUAGAUACCCUCGUAGUC
rnacentral:rRNA from 1 species